rnacentral:rRNA from 1 species
GAUGAACGCUGGCGGCGUGCCUAAUACAUGCAAGUCGAGCGAACAGACGAGGAGCUUGCUCCUCUGACGUUAGCGGCGGACGGGUGAGUAACACGUGGAUAACCUACCUAUAAGACUGGGAUAACUUCGGGAAACCGGAUCUAAUACCGGAUAAUAUAUUGAACCGCAUGGUUCAAUAGUGAAAGACGGUUUUGCUGUCACUUAUAGAUGGAUCCGCGCCGCAUUAGCUAGUUGGUAAGGUAACGGCUUACCAAGGCGACGAUGCGUAGCCGACCUGAGAGGGUGAUCGGCCACACUGGAACUGAGACACGGUCCAGACUCCUACGGGAGGCAGCAGUAGGGAAUCUUCCGCAAUGGGCGAAAGCCUGACGGAGCAACGCCGCGUGAGUGAUGAAGGUCUUCGGAUCGUAAAACUCUGUUAUUAGGGAAGAACAAAUGUGUAAGUAACUAUGCACGUCUUGACGGUACCUACUCAGAAAGCCACGGCUAACUACGUG